AGCCGGUUUCCGAAACGUUAUUCAAAUCUUCGAUCAUCUAAUCGAGCUGUUAGAUUUGAUCAACUGUUAACCAGUGACCAGUUUCUCAAACGUCGAUCAUCUUAAAAUUAUAUGAUCGUAGAAAAUCGAUUAUCUGACAUACGAUUUGGUAUCGAUACUGUCACAAUCGGCUGUCAUCCUUCAAAAUUUCAUUUUAUAACCAAAAAAUUUCAAUCCAUAGUCCAUAGUAAAUAACUACAUAAUUUAUAAAAUUAAAAAAUAUAUUAAAAAUGAGCAAUACCAACGGAAAUCCUCAACGCAUAAAUUAUACUGAGAGAGAGAAAUGUUUGCUGUUGGAAAUAUGUAAUUGGAAAAUACAACCAUAUUAUAAUUGAAAACAAAUAAUGUACCAAUGCUAUGUCCACCAACCAAAACAAUGAAACCUGGGAAAAAAUAGCACUGGAAUUUAAUGCCAGCGCUGAAUUUCCCAGAACUCCCAAGUAGCUGAACACUGAAAAGUAGAAGAGGAAAAUAUUCAAAAAUAUAAUGAGCAGAAGGUUUUGGACCAUUUGAAGAGAGACCAAACUGCGGACAAAAAAGACAUACUUGCACAGAUGUAGGGGCACAAAUGUUGAGUUUGAUUGGCAUGGCAAUCAAAUCCAACCUUUACCCAACAGUUGUGACAGUGCAUCUGGUUUCUUCACAUCUGUUGCACAAGAUAGUCAAGUGGAAGUAGAUUACCUACAAUUGGAAGACACAUAGCAGACGUCCAAUGUACCCUCUACUUCCACUGUGCUGCUCAGUACACCCACGACAACUGCUGUCCUGCCCAAGAAGACAGCCAAGAUGUCUCAGGCUCGUUCAAAAAAUAAAAAAUUAAAAGAUGUAGGGAGCGAAACCCUUAAUGUAUCUUUUACAAAAAAAAAUUGAAACAGCAAGACUAGAGAAAAGAAGUAAGAUAGUAUUUUUUUCAACAAGAAAAAGAGAAAUUUUAGAAGUAGAGCUUCAAAUAAAAAAAUUCGAACUCAAUAAAUUAUUAGGUAAUAGUGGUUAGGUAUGUCCCUACUAAAGUAAUUUUAAAUAAAAAUUGUAAUUUCUUUAAAUAAUAAAAUUAAUAAAAAAUGUA